rnacentral:lncRNA from 1 species
GAAUCCUUCAGAUUAUAACACGUGGACUUUCUCUUUAGCUCUCACAUCACCAAAUAGAUCUGCUCUUCCCGCCUCCCCCCCAAUUUUUUGUGGUAAAACACAUAUAACACAAAAUUUGCUAUUUGAACCAUCUUUAAGUAUACUGUCAGUGGUAUUAAUCACACUUGCAAUGUUGUACAACUGUCAUCACUAUCUAAUUUAAAAACUUGUUCAUCACUCUGCAAAGGAACUCGGCAACCAUUAAGCAAUAACUCCUAUUCCCAGCUCAUGGCAACCUGUAAUCUACUUUGUGUCUAUUAACUUGCCUAUUCUCAAUAUUUCAUAAAAUUUUAUCAUAGCAUUUGUCCUUUUGUGGCCGGCUUAUUUCACUUGGAAUAACUUUCUCAAGGUUUAUGUUGUAACAAUAUGUUAACGCCUCCAUUCAUUUUUCUAGCUGAAUAAUGUUUGCAUAUCAAGUUUUAUCUACUCAUCUGUUGGAUACUGGGAUUGUUUCCACGUCUUGGCUCUUGUGAAUAAUGCUGCAUUGAACCUCAGUGUACAGGACUAAAUACGGCGCAUUCUUAUCACCCCGGGGCAUGUGCCCCUCACAGAGCCCGGAGAAUCUCCAAGGAGUUACCAUCCCUUUGGAUCUGAGUUCACUCUUCUAGAACAAUUCCUGCCUAUAAAGAGUGGUCUUUGGGACCGCAGAGAAGAGGAUCCAGUCUUUGCGUUGAGGGAGACCUCUGACACGGUCUGAGAUUCAAACUUUGAGAGGGGAGCCUACCUACUCAAACUUGGAGAGGAAC